rnacentral:rRNA from 1 species
AGUGAACGCUGGCGGUAGGCCUAACACAUGCAAGUCGAACGGCAGCACAGUAAGAGCUUGCUCUUACGGGUGGCGAGUGGCGGACGGGUGAGGAAUACAUCGGAAUCUACUUUUUCGUGGGGGAUAACGUAGGGAAACUUACGCUAAUACCGCAUACGACCUACGGGUGAAAGCAGGGGAUCUUCGGACCUUGCGCGAUUGAAUGAGCCGAUGUCGGAUUAGCUAGUUGGCGGGGUAAAGGCCCACCAAGGCGACGAUCCGUAGCUGGUCUGAGAGGAUGAUCGGCCACACUGGAACUUAGACACGGUCCAGACUCCUACGGGAGGCAGCAGUGGGGAAUAUUGGACAAUGGGCGCAAGCCUGAUCCAGCCAUACCGCGUGGGUGAAGAAGGCCUUCGGGUUGUAAAGCCCUUUUGUUGGGAAAGAAAAGCAGCAGGUUAAUACCCCGCUGUUCUGACGGUACCCAAAGAAUAAGCACCGGCUAACUUCGUG